CAAAGUGAGCUGGUUUGGCUUGGUUUGGCUUGGUUUGUUUUAUCAAAGAAGCUGACGAAAUUUAACUUGUUUUCGUGUAUAUUUUAAAUAUAUUUAGCUGUGAUUGUGGUAUUUAAGUGUGAAACAAAGUUGUGCUGUGAUUACUGUUUGCAAAAAGUGUAUGUGCCGGUGUAAAAGUGUUUGAUUGCCGUGGAUAGUGUUGUGAACCAGAUUGCCGGAAUUUAUCGUGAAGCCGUGUAAAAAUGGCAUCAAAAAAAAUGCGAAUGGAUGGCAGUCUUUCGAAAAAACGCCAACAGUAUUUGGAGCAGUUGGAACGCGAAUGGCAAGCGGAGCAGCACCAACCGAAUCUUCCGGGCUCAAGCGGUGUAACGGCAGGACAGGAGCCGAAUCUCAACAUGAAUGUUGAUGAAUCUAACGCCGGAGCGGAGCUAUGUGCGUCUGACGGCGAUGGUGGCUAUGGUGACAUGGAACGGGAAGCCGAAUUCGAUUUACAGGAGGAAAACGAUUGGCAGGAAGAUGAGGAAGAUGUGUACAUGGAAAGAGACACAAACUACCAGUUUUUUGACAACAUAUCGCUGCAGGAAGGACUUCGUUAUGUUGCCGUAACGAAAAAUCUGUCCCGAUCUACGGUCAACAUGAUUCUGGGUCUGUUGCGAAGAAAGCUGAAGCUCUGCCUUCCUGCUGACGCUCGAACCCUCUUAAAAACGUCCACCAAGGUCGGGAUGGAAAUCCAACCAAUCUUGGGUGGGCAGUUUUGGUAUCAGGGAAUAGAGACCGUGAUAAGAGAACAUUUUGGGGAGAUUAUCCCGCAUGUUGAUCUUUUUUCUUUGCAGGUUUUCAUCGAUGGAUUACCCCUUUACAAGAGUUCGGCAAGGCAGUUAUGGCCGAUUCUAUUUAAGGUAGAGGAACUACCAGAUGCACCGGUGAUGCUUGCCGGUGUAUUUUGUGGAUUCACGAAACCGGAUCACGUGGAAGGAUUUUUGCGGCCUCUCGUUGAUGAAGUAAACAAGCUUCAAUCAAGCGGCUUGCGGUUCGGCGACAAGACGGUGGGCGUUAAACUUCACAUAUUUAUCGCUGAUUUACCCGCCCGCUGCUUUGCCAAAGCUACCAUAAGCUACGUUGGCAAACACAGCUGUCAUAAAUGUACAUGCGUGGGAGUACACGAAGGGAAAAAGUCAUUUUUGAUGAUGUGGAUGCUGAAUUGCGGACUGAGGAAAGCUUUAAAGGCAGGACGGAUAAGGAACAUCACAAAAGUUGGAAGUCACCUUUGGAAGAUGUGGUGGGUUUUAACAUUGUAGAUCAUAUAAUCAUAGCAGAACGCAUGCAUCAAUCAGAUUUGGGUAUUUCAAAAAAAUUAGCUAUAGGAUUUCUUGAGCACAAAUUUCCCAAAUUCCCCAAAUGGACAGAGGCACACAUAGAAACAGUUUCAAAUUUUUUAAUAGCAACACAGCUUCCAGUAGAGUUCAAUAGGAGAUUGCGGCACGUUAAAUUUAUGAAAUUUUGGAAGGCGACAGAGUUCCGUACAUUUUUACAUUACGUUAGUAUUAUUGUGUAUAGAGAUUUUAUGUGGGAGGAGGCAUUUAGUCAUUAUUUGCUUUAUUUUUGUUCUAUGACUAUAUUUUCCUCUAAUCAUCACAAACCUCUUUGGCCGCUUGCUAAAAGAUUAAUGUAUAUUUACGUAAAAAAAUUUGCAGAUUUUUAUGGUAGAACUAAUUUAACUACUAAUGUACAUGGCCUUAUACAUAUUUAUAAUGAUGUAGAUAAUUUUGGAGCGGUAGAUGAUAUAUCCGCAUAUGAUUUUGAAAAUCAUUUACAGAUUUUAAAAGGUAGUUGUAAGUCAGGCAACAGAUGUAUGGAACAGGUUAUAACAAGAUGCAAGGAAUUUCAACAUAUAAAAAGAGCUAAAAACAUUCCCGCUCCAACUUAUCCGCAGUUGAUGCCUAAUGGUAUUGGUUUGCAAGUUAGAGCCGACUUUAGCCUAAAAGCCAAUUUUAGAAACCAAUGGUUUCUUAGUGACACAAAUUAUAUUUGCCAGUUUGUGGAAGCUAAGGAGACACAUUCUUCUUUUGUUGUCGUUGGUAUGCAGUAUGAGUCGAAAGAGGAGAUGUUCAAGCUUUCUGCAAAGGACCAUAUUUCAGAAAUAGAAUUAUCGUCCACUAGUUUACACAUUUACAAAGUAAAAAAUAACACUCCUCGCCAACGGGUAGAACUACCGCAUCAAAACAUAAAAUGUAAAUUAGUGACCAUACAUUUACCAUCCCAAUCCCUUUUCAGCAACUCUAUUCUAACCACCAUUCCAUCCGAUACAAUAGGAUUUUUUCCUCUCCUCCACACUUUUCCAAAAGCAUAGUUGUAUUUAUUUAUAAUAAUAUGAUUUUAUUUUUAUUUUAGAGAAGGUAUUUGGCUCCUAAUUUUCUGUGGCACGGAUGGAGCAUGGGUUGGACUACAUUCGUAUUAUUAGAAUCGUUUAGAUUAGAAUGCAUGCAGUAGUUUAUGUUAGUAUUAUUUUAUUUGAAUGUUUAUUAGUAACUCAUAUUAAAAUAGCUAUAUCAAAUGAUGAUGAUUAACGUACUUUGUAGUUAAAAAGGUUAUGCAUAGAUUUGAGCUGCGCGCGCGUGAAUGUGGGCUCUUCAAAUAGAUUUGUUCACCUACUCGCUUUUUCAUUUAAUAUGUUUUCGUUUCCUGCUCAAAUCUAUGCAUGGGAAAGAGGUGGGCAAUCUUCAUCAUCAUUUGAUAUGUUACUUAUUGUUUAGGAAGCUAUUACACUAACAAAAUAGUUUGUCUUGCCCAUUUUAAAAUCAUAUAAAUAGAAACUACAAUAGUCACUACUGUUCAAUGAAUUCUAAUAAGUUAUAGUUAAUUGUAGCUUUUUAUCUUAGUGUAAUUAAAUUAGGCCGAUUUCGUAGUACAGUCGUCAUCACGUACGACUUAACAAUAUGCCCGUUAUGGGUUCAAGUUCCAAAUGGAGCGGGCCGCCAUACGUAGCACUGACUAUU